rnacentral:rRNA from 1 species
CCCUUAGAUGUUCUGGGCCGCACGCGCGCUACACUGAUGCAUUCAACAAGCCUAGCCUUGACCGAGAGGUCCGGGUAAUCUUUGAAACUGCAUCGUGAUGGGGCUAGAUUAUUGCAAUUAUUAAUCUUCAACGAGGAAUGCCUAGUAAGCGUGAUUAAUCAAAUCGCGUUGAUUACGUCCCUGCCCUUUGUACACACCGCCCGUCGCUCCUACCGAUUGAAUGUGUUGGUGAGGAGCUCGGAUUGGCAGCAGUUGGUGGUUCGCCACCGGCUAUUGCUGAGAAGUCCUCCAAACCGCCCCAUUUAGAGGAAGGAGAAGUCGUAACA